GUGCUCGCUUCGGCAGCACAUAUACUAACAUUGGAACGAUACAGAGAUUAGCAUGGCCCCUGCGCAAGGAUAACACGCAAAUUCGUGAAGCAUUCCAUAUUUUU
rnacentral:snRNA from 1 species